AUACGGAGGAUCCGAGCGUUAUCCGGAUUUAUUGGGUUUAAAGGGUGCGCAGGCGGGAGAUUAAGUCGGCGGUGAAAUUUUGCAGCUCAACUGUAAAAGUGCCUUCGAAACUGGUUUCCUUGAGUGUAGAUGAAGUAGGCGGAAUUUGUGGUGUAGCGGUGAAAUGCAUAGAUAUCACGAGGAGCUCCGAUUGCGCAGGCAGCUUACUAAACUACUACUGACGCUCAGGCACGAAGGCGUGGGGAUCAAACAGGAUUAGAUACCCUGGUAGUCCACGCAGUAAACGAUGAUUACUAGCUGUUUGCGAUACAAUGUAAGCGGCUGAGCGAAAGCGUUAAGUAAUCCACCUGGGGAGUACGUUCGCAAGAAUGAAACUCAAAGGAAUUGACGGGG
rnacentral:rRNA from 1 species